UGGGGAAUUUUGGACAAUGGGCGCAAGCCUGAUCCAGCCAUGCCGCGUGCGGGAAGAAGGCCUUCGGGUUGUAAACCGCUUUUGUCAGGGAAGAAAUCUUCUGAGUUAAUACCUCGGGAGGAUGACGGUACCUGAAGAAUAAGCACCGGCUAACUACGUGCCAGCAGCCGCGGUAAUACGUAGGGUGCAAGCGUUAAUCGGAAUUACUGGGCGUAAAGCGUGCGCAGGCGGUUUUGUAAGACAGAGGUGAAAUCCCCGGGCUCAACCUGGGAACUGCCUUUGUGACUGCAAGGCUUGAGUGCGGCAGAGGGGGGAUGGAAUUCCGCGUGUAGCAGUGAAAUGCGUAGAUAUGCGGAGGAACACCGAUGGCGAAGGCAAUCCCCUGGGCCUGCACUGACGCUCAUGCACGAAAGCGUGGGGAGCAAACAGGAUUAGAUACCCUGGUAGCCCACGCCCUAAACGAUGUCAACUGGUUGUUGGGAAGGUUCCUUCUCAGUAACGUAGCUAACGCGUGAAGUUGACCGCCUGGGGAGUACGGCCGCAAGGUUGAAA
rnacentral:rRNA from 1 species